GAUGAACGCUAGCUACAGGCUUAACACAUGCAAGUCGAGGGGCAGCACAGUGUAGCAAUACACGGGUGGCGACCGGCGCACGGGUGCGUAACGCGUAUCCAACCUUCCCGUUACUCUUGGAUAGCCUUCCGAAAGGGAGAUUAAUACAAGAUGGUAUUCAAAUUCCGCAUGUUAUUUGAAUUAAAGAUUUAUCGGUAACGGAUGGGGAUGCGUGACAUUAGGUAGAUGGCGGGGUAACGGCCCACCAUGCCUACGAUGUCUAGGGGUUCUGAGAGGAAGGUCCCCCCACACUGGAACUGAGACACGGUCCAGACUCCUACGGGAGGCAGCAGUGAGGAAUAUUGGUCAAUGGUCGGAAGACUGAACCAGCCAAGUAGCGUGAAGGAUGAAGGUUCUAUGGAUUGUAAACUUCUUUUAUACGGGAAUAAAACCUCCACGUGUGGGAGCUUGUAUGUACCGUAUGAAUAAGCAUCGGCUAACUCCGUG
rnacentral:rRNA from 1 species